CAAACCUCAUCUUGAAUUAUAACUCCCACAAUUUCCACAUUUUGUGGGAGGAACCUGGUGGGAAGUAAUUGAAUCAUGGGGGCAGGUCUUUCCCAUGCUGUUCUCAUGAUAGUGAAUAAGUCUCAUGAGGUAUGGUGCUUUUAAAAACGGGAGUUUCCCUGCACAAACUCUCUCUCUCUUUGCCUGCUGCCAUCCAUGUAGACGUGACUUGCUCCUCCUUGCCUUCAGCCAUGAUUGUGAGACCUUGCCAGCCACUUGGAACAGAAUGUUAUGAGGAAUGAAAUGAGAAUUAUAUCUAUCAAGAACUCGACAUAGAGUCAGAGAUGCUAAUAAAUGAUAUGCAACAUUUGAAGAAAAAUAAGUUCCACUGGCACAAGAUUACAGCAAUUUCCUUGCCACUUAUUGAUCAACAGCCAAGCCAUCUGCAACAUGGUCUGGAUCUCAGUCCCAGGAGGAGUCUUAUUUAGUUUAGAGCAAUUGGACGAAGUAUAUUUUUGUGAGCAAAUUUACCUUUCUCUCUGAAUUCUCCAAAAUUCAGAAACCGUGGUGCCUUGACAUUAUUGGUUCACCAACAGAGCAGAACUGCCUCAGCCAUCAAUAAUAAUUCAACGCAUCAGGAUGAGGCCUACGCAUGGGCCACAGAGGAUAUGUAAUGACUUAAGAUACCAACUCCACAUUCUGUGGUAAGAGAUGAAGAUCCAGGAAAUGUAUGGACACCUAUAGCCUGAAGAAUAUUGUCAGAAAAAAACACUGGGAUCUGGAAGCGAAAAGGAAACAUAGAAAACGAGACAGGAAGGUGAAGAAAGUUGAAGAUAAACUUUCUUUUUCACAAUGUUUUUAUGGACAAGUUCAGCCCAUAAAUCAAAAAUUACCUUUAUGGAUGAAAUAUUAGUUAAGUCAAGAUCAUCUUUUUCAUUUCCUACAUGCAGGUUGAAUCUCAUUUAUGGAGUGAGAUGUCAAAUAACAACAAAAAAUGCACUUAAUUUGCAUAAAGAUGCUUGUAAGGUAACAUUGCUCCACACUUUGCUUUAUUCACAUCAUUAGAGGAAAUAUCUUAUUCCUCUAGCUGUUUCUGGCCAUGGCUCAAGGAAUUAAAAACUUCCAUUCAUUCCUUCAGACAGUACAGUUAACAAGAGGAUAACUUUUUUUAUUAUCUCUGUCCUUCUCCCUCAGGAAGCAGAGAAUUAUCAGAUUGGUGAGAGAAAGGAAAUAAAGGUCUGAACAUGUGUCUCAAGUCACCUCUUUUGGGAGCACUCUGUUCUCAGUUUAUUUUAAUUCUGUUUCUCAAUUUAAUGAGUUUACUAGAGCAGGGUCCACUAUUACCCUGUGGAGAUCCUUAAUGAUACAUGGAUAUGUUUAAUUCUGGGAAUAAAGUAGUUAAACUGGCUAGUGAUUAUGCCACAUUGUUAGAGUCAUCUUUGUCAAUAAGAAAGUUGUUCAUAUUUAUGACAUCUGUAUCCAUUUCUUCAGAAGUGUGACUAUUAUUCAUAUAUCCCCAAUACACACAAAAUAUAUAGUUUUAACUAAAUUUUUAAUCUGUUACAUAUUUUUCUAGGUUACUAGCUAGAGACAUCCUGGUUGUUUCCAAUUUGUUGUAAACUGGAAAUUUGAUGCUAAACAAGUAGUGUUAUGACAAGCCUUCUUAUUCAUAACUUGACAUGCUUUUGCCAGUAUAUUUUAGAUGAAAUUUUGAGAUUAUGGUGGAGUCAAAUCAUAUGAACACUUUAAAUUUUGCUCCGUUAUUACCACAUUCCUGUGCAAAAGUGACACCAAUUUACAAUGCCAUAUUGUAUAGACGUGUUUCAUGGUACCUUAAAACAAUUACAAUGUUAAUAACAAAGAUAAGUAAUCACAGAGCACUAUGUCAGAUAUAAUACUAAUUUAAAAAGUUUGAAAUAUAAUGACAAUUAACAAAAUGUGACUAGGAGGCUCAAAGUGAGCACAUGCUGUUGGUAAAAUGAUGCUAACAGACUUGCUUAAUGUAGGGUUGCCACAAACAGAAGUAAAAAGUGCUUAUUUGCCGACAACCUUGCCAAAUAUUGACUCUAUAAAAUGGUUUAAAAUUAUUUAUAUUACAGAUACUUUGCUUUGCUAUUUCUAAUUCUCUUAUUUUGUAAACAGUGUUAUUUUAGCCACAUAUGUAUUUCUUUCGCUCUGGAUUUCUCAUUUCAUUUUAAUUUUGUGUGUAUGUCCUUGAUGGAUUCUUUGAAUUUUUGUUUUCAUUGCAUCUUUCUGUAUAAUUAUUCCUGGGAUAUUGUGUCAUUUUUAAAAAUUGCAUUUCGUAGGAUGGAUUCCUAAUACUUUCUUUGCAUGUGCUUUUAUGUUAUUUUAUUUCCUUGUCUUAUUACUAAAAAGUGAUUUUAUACUUGCCAUGAUUUUCAGGUUUCCCAGCUUAAGAUGGACAGUUCUUACACUUUGAUGUAGCAUGGGCAAAUUUGUCUCUACUUUUUCACAUCAAGCUAUAGUUUAAGCAUUGAGUUUUGAAAUGUGCCCACUUUUUCCCUAGCCUGAGUGUGUAGAGAAUAAGCAGAUGAGCUCAAUUGGUGUGCAAUUUAGGUAAAAGACCUGGACUCUUUCUCUUGCCUAAAAUUUUAUUAAGUAUCUAAUCCCAUAGCUUGCUCUCUUUCCAGGAGGCAGUUUUACUGCCGCCAGGGAAAUAGCCUUGCUUUCAAAUCUCUUCCUUAAUUCAGCGCAGAGCCACCAAGGCUUUGCUUGUAUCAAUGAGCCAUCUCAUGUACCUUCAUCCCCCAUUUCACCAGUCUUUUCCUGGCACUUUCUCCCUCUAUUCCUCACUCUAAGACUGAGUGGGGAAUCAAUAUUUGGCUGUAAAGGAGUAUAUGGUGUCUUACCUUGUGUGCUGAAACAAUGUAUUUACUCAAAGUGUUAUGGAUUUUCUUUUUUCUCUACAUUAUGCCAAGACAUAAAUUCUGAGAGUGUUUAUGAUGGUGCCUCUUUUCCCCUCUGCUUUCUUUCCAAGUUAGAGACAUCAAAAUAAUAAGCCUUAACCAUUUUCCUGUUUUUAAAAGAAAUAGUUAAUUUUUAUGGGAAUUAUUAGGUGUCUCCCGGGCUACUCAUGUAAAUCCUCAUUUUAUCUGUUUUUAAAUUGAGUUAUUCAUGAGAUGCUUUCUGCAUUUUGUUUUUUAGGAAAUUUUAGGAAACAAAGAUAAAUGUCAUAUGGUCUUUCAAAUGUCAUAUGGUCUCUCAAAUAUCAUAUGGUCUCACAUCCCCUCCAAACUAUUUUAAAUAUGGCCUGACUUUGGGAAUGAAGGCUUUACUUGGACAUGGAUAUGACUGUAGGCAUUUUCCUUUAUAUUCCUUUAUAACUUACUGUUAUGCAUCUACUAGCAGCUGUUAAGGUCACUCCAAAACUGACAUUCUCUCCCCAUGUUUGCUUCCACUAAAACCCAUCUGGUGAUGGAACUGUGCAUACCUUCAUCAAGUAUUUUGAAAACAAAACAAAACAAAAUAAGCAAAAACAAAGUAAACAAAAGACAGAUAUCUGAAUCAGACAGAAUUAGUUUUGGAUCCCAGUCUGUCACCAGUUACUUGUUUAAAAUGGAGCAGGUUACUUAACAACUCUGAGAAAUAUUUACUUAAAACACUCAAGUAUAAUAUGUAUUUUGCAGACAUUUUGUGAUAAGUAAAUGAGGUAUGUGUGCAUGUGUGGGCUUGUGUAUAAAAUAAACUCUCUUGAUUGGCCUAUAUAACUGUCUUUUUCAUUCAGGAUGAAUGGUGGGUAACUUUUUUACUCACUCAAGCUACAUCGUAUUCUAUUCAGAUUAAUCUAAUUUCUUAUCUGAAAUAGUUAAAAUAUGUGAUAUACUUUGACAAAUAUCAAGGUAAUAAACAUUUGAAAAAGGACACAUUUUUCUCUUCCUUAUUUCCUUAAGCCAAUUCAUUCUUCUACUAUAUUUUAUUUUACAUAAACGUUACUUUAAUUUUAUAUAUGCACUAUGCAAUCUAAAAAGUACAAUUGCCUGUGAUGUCCAUAUACUUUACCUUUCUUAAGAGAGGUACAUUCGUUUAAUUUAUUCUUAUAAUCUAGUUGAUAUGAGUAAAUCUUUUAAAUAACUAGGGGCGAAUUUUGCUCCAAUCCACCUAUAUGAAAAUAUUUAUCAUUUUUAAAAAGGCAAUUCUCUCAGCUUAGACAAAAUAAAACCCAUCUUUACAAAAGAUACAAAAAAAAAUUCGUUGGAUGUGGUGGCAUGUGCCUGUGGUCCCAGCUACUCAGAAGGCUGAGUGGAGACGAGAAGAUCACUUGCACCCACAUGGGUUGAGGCUCCAGUGAGCCAAAUUCUUGCCUCUGCACUACAGCCUGGGUGACAGUGAGAUCUGCAGAAAGAUGAGAUGCUCUUCCAAGCAAGUAAUAGAUCUUUGGGUUGCAGAUAUUGGCAGAACAUUGGCAUAUUCUGGGACCUCAAGCAUUUGAUACCCAAGAAAAUAUAAUUUUAAUGUAUGCUUUCUAAUGUCUCUGCGGAUAUCACCAUGAGGUGCUAACUUUUUAUAUCAGAUAUUAUAACUUUAUUAUUGUAUUAUACCAAGUUGACAUUAUUGCUAUAUUUUCUUUUAUUGAUUUCAAUACUAUAAUUAUAUGUUUGCAUCCAGUAAGAAUAAAUAUGGGA
rnacentral:lncRNA from 10 species